rnacentral:rRNA from 1 species
UACGGAGGGUGCAAACGUUGCUCGGAAUUAUUGGGCGUAAAGCGCACGUAGGUGGUCUGUUUAGUCGGGUGUGAAAGCCCUGGGCUCAACCCAGGAAGUGCACUCGAUACUGGCAGGCUUGAGUAUGGAAGAGGGUCGCGGAAUUCCCGGUGUAGAGGUGAAAUUCGUAGAGAUCGGGAGGAACACCUGUGGCGAAGGCGGCCCCCUGGGCCGGCCCUGACACUGAGACGCGAAGGCGUGGGGAGCGAACGGG